CCCGGCGACCGGCGCACGGUGAGUAACACGUAUGCAACCUGGCCGCCACAGGGGGAUAACCCGCGGAAACGCGGUCUAAUACCCCGUGACGCCACCGGAGGGCAUCCUCCGGUGGCCAAAGGAGCGAUCCGGUGGCGGAUGGGCAUGCGGCGCAUUAGCUAGACGGCGGGGUGACGGCCCACCGUGGCGACGAUGCGUAGGGGUUCUGAGAGGAAGGCCCCCCCACACUGGGACUGAGACACGGCCCAGACUCCUACGGAAGGCAGCAG
rnacentral:rRNA from 1 species